UGAGAGUGUCUCUUCUGAAGGUUUUUGUGUACCUGAGGCCUUCCAAAGAGAAUGGACAAAAUAGGCUGCCUAGAGACAAGAACAAAAAAGGAGCGGACACAAUGUUACUUCCCUGAACACUCUCUUGGUCUCCACCAGUUUGCUGCUCAGGGACUGCCUGACACACAGAUGUCUGUAUAUUCACUCAGGAGACAUUGUUAAUGUUGAUGAAGAUCCUGCUUGUAACUGAGCUCAUGCUGAUAAAGACAGAAGAAAGCCAGGCUGUUCUGAAGCUUGUUUGAAGAUUAAAUACAUCUGGAUUGGACAAUUUUGAAUUUGAAACCAUGAGAGGCUAUAGUGAUUCAUUGUGAAUUGAGGAUGAAAUAGCCAUGGCAGCCUUCCAGCAUUAAGGAGUAUUAAUUGAGCAUGAGGUAAUGCAAACACUUACCUAUUUGUGACAGAAGUUAAGUUCCUCAGGCAGUCACAGUUAUUGAAAUAAAACUUGGUGGAAGGUCUUAGUGUUAUCCAGAAUAUAUGGCCAUCUUGCUAUAUUUUUAGUGCUAAAAUCCAACUAGUAUUCAAA